rnacentral:tRNA from 1 species
GAGGGUAUAGCUCAAGUGGUAGAGCACAUAAUUAGCAUAUACAAGGUCCUGGGUUCAAUCCCCAGUAGCUCCU